AGAUCUAUUUUUUCUCUCCUACCUAAGACCGAUGGGAUCACCUAGAGCAACCUAGUGGCAUCCUCCAUUUGUGACCUCACUGGAGGCACACUUUUAUAGGCAGAAGAAGCAGGGAUGACAAUAUAGAGCAGUAUUGAGCUGUGUAAGCUGUGAACCCAGUAUUGAGGUUUUCCCAUGUUGCAUUGUGGCCCGAGACAUUACAUUACUACCACUACAUUACUGGUGUUUAGAGGUCUGCUUCAAUAGAUAGAGCAACCGCUGAGUGGGAGGGAGAUCAUUCUGCAGGAUACUGUAGUUUUGCAAAAGCUGGAGACACCCUGGUUAGAAAACACUGGUCUACUGUUUACAGCAUAGCAUGGAAGGCAGCUCAGGUGUGCUUCAAUGGGUAGGGUGGCUGAUGUGUGGGAGGGAGAAAAGUGACCUCACACUUACAAACAAGGGAUACUGGGACUUGUAGUUGGAAGGAGGGAACGCCAACAGGAAAUAGCCAUUUCGCAAAAAGAAAGCAACAGCAUUAUGAUGGACUCACAGCCAUUCAGCCCAAAGACAAGUACGGAUCCUUCCUAAGCAUGUCCAUUACUG